AAGCCCCAAAGCCGCCGGCGCCGCCUGAACGCAUCUGAACCAAUAGAUCAAAACGUUCCACAUAUAUGUUGUUGAGAAAGUUGCACAGCAUCUUGGUAUGGAUGAUCCUUCAAAACUUCGCCUUACAAAGCACAUCCCGCAUUUACAGCAACCAGAUGUCUGACAUUUUUUAUUAUGAGACACUGACAUUCCUUUG